rnacentral:lncRNA from 1 species
GGUGACUACCUCAGCUGCCUUCUCUUUGAGGCGGGCAGCUUCGGCCCGACGACUCUCCUCCGCCUGGAUGGCGUCCCUCCUCGCCCGAUUCGUCGCCUCGAUAUUGGCAAGGAGCUGGUGCCCGAUCUGCAAGGGCGGCUAGGAGGUCAGAACGAAGGUCGAGAAGCUAAUUAAACGAAGGAGCGAGGAGGGGGCGGAAGCUGAAUUUGUUUACCUCGAGAAAGGACCCAAGGGAGUUCCAAACCCGCUGUUCGGGAUCGGUGCGAUCAAUCCUCUGGACGACCUCGAGC